GGGCGCUUAGCUCAGCUGGGAGAGCGACGGUCUUACAAACCGUAGGUCACAAGUUCGAUCCUUGUAGCGCCCACCA
rnacentral:tRNA from 2 species